UUUAAAGUUUAACCUGCCCAAUGAAAUUUGAAUGGCCGCGGUAUAUUGACUGUGCGAAGGUAGCAUAAUAAUUAGUUUUUUAAUUGGAAACUGGUAUGAAUGGUUGGACGAGAAAAAAACUGUCUCUAUUUAAUUUAAUUAGAAUUUUAUUUUUAAGUAAAAAAGCUUAAAUUUAUUUAAAAGACGAGAAGACCCUAUAGAGUUUUAUAUUAUUAAUUAAUUAUAACUUUAAGAAUUUAUGUUUAGUUAAUAUAAUAGUAUUUGGUUGGGGUGACUAAAAAAUUAAAUAAACUUUUUUAUAAUUUGAACAUUAAUGAAUGAAUAUAUGAUCCAUUAUUUAUGAUUAAAAGAUUAAAUUACCUUAGGGAUAACAGCGUAAUUUUUUUUGAGAGUUCUUAUCGAAAAAAAAGAUUGCGACCUCGAUGUUGGAUUAAAAU
rnacentral:rRNA from 1 species